rnacentral:rRNA from 5 species
AACGACUCUCGACAACGGAUAUCUCGGCUCUCGCAUCGAUGAAGAACGUAGCGAAAUGCGAUACUUGGUGUGAAUUGCAGAAUCCCGUGAACCAUCGAGUCUUUGAACGCAAGUUGCGCCCGAAGCCAAUAGGCCGAGGGCACGUCUGCCUGGGUGUCACACA